GAUGAAGAACGUAGCGAAAUGCGAUACUUGGUGUGAAUUGCAGAAUCCCGUGAACCAUCGAGUCUUUGAACGCAAGUUGCGCCUCAAGCCAUUAGGUUGAGGGCACGUCUGCCUGGGCGUCACAUAUCGUUGCCUGAUGCCAGUUUCCUCGUGAUGGGUGACUGUGCAGGGCGAAUGAUGGCUUCCCGUGAGCAUUGUUGCCUCAUGGUUGGUUGAAAAUUGAGUCCUUGGUAGGGAGCGCCGUGAUAGAUGGUGGUUGAGGGACGAACGAGACCCAAUCAUGUGAGACCCCUACCGAAUUUGGCCUUCAUGACCCACAUGCGUCUUUGGAACGCUCAUGACGAGACCUCAGGUCAGGCGGGGCUACCCGCUGAGUUUAAGCAUAUCAAUAAGCGGAGGA
rnacentral:misc_RNA from 1 species